rnacentral:rRNA from 1 species
UACGGAGGGUGCGAGCGUUGUCCGGAAUCACUGGGCGUAAAGGGCGCGUAGGCGGCCUGAUAAGUAGGGGGUGAAAUCCUGCGGCUUAACCGCAGGGCUGCCUUCUAAACUGUCAGGCUAGAGCACAGUAGAGGCAGGUGGAAUUCCCGGUGUAGCGGUGGAAUGCGUAGAGAUCGGGAAGAACAUCAGUGGCGAAGGCGGCCUGCUGGGCUGUUGCUGACGCUGAGGCGCGACAGCGUGGGGAGCAUACAGG